GAGUGAACGCUGGCGGUAGGCCUAACACAUGCAAGUCGAACGGCAGCACAGUAAGAGCUUGCUCUUACGGGUGGCGAGUGGCGGACGGGUGAGGAAUACAUCGGAAUCUACUUUUUCGUGGGGGAUAACGUAGGGAAACUUACGCUAAUACCGCAUACGACCUACGGGUGAAAGCAGGGGAUCUUCGGACCUUGCGCGAUUGAAUGAGCCGAUGUCGGAUUAGCUAGUUGGCGGGGUAAAGGCCCACCAAGGCGACGAUCCGUAGCUGGUCUGAGAGGAUGAUCAGCCACACUGGAACUGAGACACGGUCCAGACUCCUACGGGAGGCAGCAGUGGGGAAUAUUGGACAGUGGGCGCAAGCCUGAUCCAGCCAUACCGCGUGGGUGAAGAAGGCCUUCGGGUUGUAAAGCCCUUUUGUUGGGAAAGAAAAGCAGCAGGUUAAUACCCCGCUGUUCUGACGGUACCCAAAGAAUAAGCACCGGCUAACUUCGU
rnacentral:rRNA from 1 species